GAACAUUCAAGCAAUCAUUCUUGUGGUGGGAUCGCGCAUGGGCAGGAUGGUGUAACCAUCCGGCGAUAGCCACCCAUGCGCAAACCAAGGCUCCUGACGGGGCCUUUUUUUAUGCCUUCGA
rnacentral:sRNA from 1 species